GAGCAUCAGAGUGGUCACUGGUUGGAACCCAGACCACCUGUGAGGUGACGCCCAAAUCUGACCUGGUAGUCAGGCCAAAUCUGGACCAGGAUCAUUUAGUCAGCAUAUCUCCACCAAAGCACAAUGCUGAAACAUGGAUUUAUAUCUUUUGGCCUUUCAGAUUUUAGAUCAAACUCAACCUUUCCAAAAAUAAGACAGACAUCAGG